UGAACUCCCAUGCAAGCUAGAUUGUUUAGAGUUUAAACUAUGCACCCGUUUUCUCUCAGUUGCACAAAAGCUCGCGGGCUCGUGUCGCAUUCAAAUCGCUGCACUAGGCACUCGUUCACCUCUCACCCAGGCACCCAUGUGAUUGCUCAAACCCACACUCGCACCCGUCUGCUGUGAAGACCCAGGCACCCAUUCACCCAUGGCCACGCUCAUGUUUGAAUCCAUUUGGCCCGCACCC
rnacentral:lncRNA from 1 species